AUGAAGCUAUAUUAUACAGUUGUCUUGAUUCUCUGCAUAACUCUCGUCAUGGCUCCAGGAUCCACAAAAAAGCCAAAAAUAAAGACUACCGCUCAGUGCUUAGAGGAAGGUGGUACAUGUAGAAAAGGGAAGUGCAGCAGUGCAGUGAAGAUUGGCACAUGUGGCAAGAAAACACUAUGUUGCAAAGAAGUUCUGGAUUAUUCCUAAAUGAAGCAGCAGGAACCGAUGACACCCAAGCCGUUGUUCAUCCAACCAUCGCAUAGCUAUCGUCAUUGUUGCAACUGCAAAUGCAGCGAGACUACCUGUGACUACAAAACAUAAGCCAAAGUUGUACACGUACAACAUUUAACAUUCAACACAGUGCUUCUUCCUUCUUUAAACCAAACAAGUGAUUUUCUGCUUUUAUGCUCUAGCCUCCCUCCCAAAAAUAAAAUCUUU
rnacentral:lncRNA from 1 species